AACUGACUUUCAGAAACUUAACCUAGUACCAAGCUCCCCGCGGUGUCUCGGGCCACCCAGCGGGUGAAGAAGCAUCCCUUCAAACACGAAAUUCUUCGGGUGUAAAGUAUGGGAAGUAUCUGUCUGUAAGGGAAAUUCUCCACCCAGUACCCCACCCGAAGCCACUGUGGAGUUUAUGAUGCAGAAACUCUAAGGCUAGAGUGGAUCUGUAGUGUCUACACUCCAGACAAUGCCCACAAAAUACCUAUGCUUGUGUGAAUAAAAAUUCCUGAAAAGAAUCUGUGUUACCUAAGAACAACUGAACUUCAGUACUAUGGAGUGGCUGGAAUCCUGGUCCGGAGGCUAAUUACCUUAUCAUAUGGUAGCUUUAGCUACUCACAGUAGCUAUUCCUUACCAAUUCUGCCAGAACUAGCAUCCUGGGAAUACGAGAUAAAACGAUUUGGUAUCUGUUAACUUAAGAGACUACCAGAAGCUAAGAAUGUUAUUAGAUAGCAUCUUGGCCGUCUAAGCAAGACUUCCCUCAUCUGGCUGCAAUUGUCUCUCUGCUGUACCCACCAAUGUAUUUAUUUUAAACGUAUCUUGACCUAUGACUUUCUUUGUUCUAUGAAAUUAUAAAAAUAUAUGAAAUUGUUUCCAUGUGAGAUGACUGAAUUUUAGUAACCUAUAGAUGAGUUUCCAAGUCACGGCCAUUCAAACAAUGACUCCAGAAUAAACUGUCAUAUUCCCUUUAA